rnacentral:lncRNA from 1 species
AAUGGCCCCACGGGGUGCGGGUCGCCGGCAGAUCUCCAGCUCGGGCAGUGGAACCCGGUACCAGGACGGUGAUCUCGCGGCAGAGACAGCAGCCUCCAGUAGCUCCGGCCUUCUGGGCCGACCGCUCGUACCACCGUGGCAUGGGUCGCCCGGGACGCGCUACCCUGCAGGGGGCGGAAGUUGGGAAGAGGAGUUCCCGUUCCUAAGGCGCUGGCAUCGCUCCUCCUGCUGCUUCCCUGUUCUGACCCAUUCCCGGCGACGGAGGAUGAAGGUGGCGAAAGAUGUUUGGACAGCCGUCGCUCUCCUCCAUGCUUUUCUCCUGCUGCUGGUUAGCUUGGAUGGUGAUGGUGUCACCUGGGGUCCUGGAAUCUCUGGGCCCGCAUCCUCAUUACCCGAGAAUUCGUUAGAACGACACAUUCACGACCACACCUAAACCUACAGAAUCAGAAACGCCACUAGUGGGGUCGGUCCUGAAACCUGGUUAACAAGCUCCCAAGGUGAAUCUGAUGGCCGCUUUCCCUAAGCAGUAGAGACCCUUUUUCGUGUAUGGUGCUGAAAAUUUAGCGUCCUCUGUCCCCAAAUACAGUGAAAAAUCGGAUUUAAAAUGUGUCUGCUCCUGUGUGAGCUCUUAAAGGUCUUGUCCUCUCCUGCACCUCCGGCCUCUUCACCUUAGGACACUAUGCUAUCGCACUUCUCAGGGAGAUAAGAAAGGGUGGCCUGACGCAUACUGCUUUUAAAUGACAACCCACUAACCUGCUCUAUUUGAGUGUCAACCAAGAGCAAGGGAGUGGCUGAGAUUAUAGUAGCCCCGCUGGUUAUUUUCAUCAGUUUGCACCUAAGAGGGAAAAAAAGGAGGCUUGCUGUCUUGAAGUAAGUACUGGACAGCCGCUGGCUCUUUGCAGUGUUACUUUGCAUUUGCUGUAACCAAGGUCAAAGCAAGCGAGCUGCUGCCUGGCAGGUCAUGGAAUCCAGACUUUAAAAUUCUCCCUCCCCACCCCACACACACUUGUUACAAGUGUGUCCCAGGCAUUAGAGUUAGUUUAGUUUUUCUUCCCCUCCCCCCUCCCUGUAUCUUUGAAAUGUUUUUUAGGAAAAAGAAAACAUUUUUCUAUGAAAGUUUUAGGAGUAUUCCUAAUACAUGAAAAGGGCAGAGUAUACAAGUAUUUUAUACUCCAAAUUUCACUCCAAUUUCAGAAAGUGGUUCUUAGAAAAGGCACACAUAAAAUAUACAUAACAGAGCUUUAAGUAAAUAUAGGGAUGGUAAUCUAGAGAGAAAUCCUCGCCUUGAAAGUAACUUGAAUGGCGUGGUCAUAAGAGAUGCUUCAGAGUUGGCAUACUUUUAAGUCAGUCACUGUACAAAAAAUAAUAAUAAUCAAGAUGAAAUGUUCCUUUUCUAGUCCACUAAACCAUGAAGAACCUUAACAGGAGGCUGGAGAGGUAGCUCAGCAGUUACGAGUACUUGCUGGUCUUGAAGAGAACCCUAGUUCAAUUCCCAGCACCCCACUUUGCCAUUGACAACCAUCUGAAACUCUACUUCUUUGGAAUCUGAUGCCUUCUCUGGCUGCAGAGAACACCAGGCAUGCAAGAGUUACACUAUAUAUGCAGGCAGGCAUAGCAUCAUAUAUGAAGUAAUAAAUGACUUUAAGAAACAAGAGAA